UCACCCCUUUCCCAAUCUCGUCUCCUCCAGAAAACCAACCUCCACUUUUCAUCAAACUUCCACAGCCCAACACCCUCCUCCUCCGCAACCAGUAAUGGCAGCCACCUCCUCCGCCUUGUUCUCAGCCCCGUCCAUCUCCUCCACAGCCACAAGGCACCACCAAACCCUAUCACCAACCCAAAUCUCCUUCCAAGGCCUCAGACCCCUCACCAAGUCCUCCCCUCCCACCAAGCUUGGUUUGCAUGCACCCAGCACCAGGAGAAGUUCAUGCGUCGUCAAAGCUGAGCUGAACCCAUCACUGGUCAUCAGCCUGAGCACCGGACUCUCUCUCUUCCUUGGGAGGUUUGUUUUCUUCAACUUCCAGAGAGAGAAUGUGGCCAAGCAAGGGUUGCCGGAGCAGAACGGGGUGACGCACUUUGAGGCUGGGGACACUAGGGCUAAGGAGUAUGUGAGCCUCCUCAAGUCUAAUGACCCUGUUGGGUUCAACAUUGUGGAUGUUUUGGCUUGGGGUUCUAUCGGUCACAUCGUGGCUUACUACAUCUUGGCCACCUCUAGCAAUGGCUAUGAUCCCAAGUUCUUUGAAUAAAUAUUAUCAUUUUGAAUUUAAAUUUGAGUUGAAUCCAUAUCAUGUUGUUGUGAGGUCUCUCUCUUGUUUGUAAUUUGUAUAGCUUAUCAAUGAAUCGCUAGUUUGGGAAGUUCUUAUGCUUUUCUUUGUUGUUUUAUUUUUUGUUUCGUGGUUCUUCGAAGUAACAACACUAGAGGCAGGACUAUAGCCAAUUAAGUUCUUCGUUUUGAGUUUGAAUGCAUGUGUUUUGUUGGAAUUUGGAAUUUACUACUUGCUAUUAUUUCAUGUUCUCAAAGGUAUCCAAAUCCAUCAUGCAAUGCACUCUUUCAAAUCUUUGGAUUGAACCCCCCUUGAGGCAUCAACAACUAUGAUGAAUUUGGGACAUUCCUUAUUUCAUAGUUUUGGAGUACCAUUCUUUUUCGGGUAAAUUGUUGUUUGACCCCCUGAACUAUUUUUUUGGUAAAUUAACCUCCUAAACUAUUUAAAAUCAGCCAAUUAACCCCUUAACGUUAGACGUCCAUUAUUUUGUCAAAUUCAAGGGCAAAUUAGUCUUUUUGUCAUCAAUUUGUACAUGUCACUUAUAACUACCAAUAAAAUUAUGACACGUGGACACAGAAUAACGUGUAAUGACAAUGUAAAAUGGUCUGUUAUGCAAACGUUUGGUUUCUUUAUGUUUCUUAUUAUGCUAUAAGUUUUUGAAUUAUUCUGUGUCCACGUGUCAUUAUUUUAUUGGUGGUUAUAACUAACUAGUAAGAAUUGAUGAUAAAAAAGAUUAAUUUGCCCUUGAAUCUGACGGAAUAGUGGACGGAAUCUAACGAAAAAUGGUUAAUUGGCUGCUUUUAAAUAGUUCGGGGAGUUAAUUUACCAAAAAAUUAGUUUAGGGGGUCAAUUUCAACUAAAGUAAUAAUUUAAGGGGUCAAACCGCAUUUACCCUUCUUUUUCGGAUACUCUUAAUAUGGUGAUGCAACAAAAUUAAUUUGAUUAUGGACAUUCACCUCUCCCAGACCCUGCGUAAAGCGGGAGCCUUGUGCACUGGGUACGACCUUUUUAUAUGUUUUUUUUAUCGACAAAAAGAUAUUUUUAACUAUUUUAAUUUAUGCGAAAUGAGGUUUGAAUUUGGAUGAAAAGGAGCUAUCACUUGACUAAAUGACCUGACUUACAUGUUUAAGCCCACAUAAGCGUAGUUUCUUCACUCAAAUUAAAAGUUAGAAAAAAAUACAGAAAUCUACUAAAUUCAGGCAAAAUCGAUGAACUUAAACAUAUCAUGAAUAUAAUCAUCUAAUUUUUGGAACUUUAGCACGAUUUAUAUUAUGAUGAAAUCCUUAUGAUUUCAUAAAAAAUGUUACUCUUAUCUUAUCACAUUUUUCAUACCACGUUUAUAACACUUCGUAUUCGUAAGCCCUAUUUCUAUUAGAGAAGUGAUACAAUUAUGAUAUGUAUCAUUUACUCUUAGAAAUCACAUUCUAUACUCCGUCUUCUUUCUCUUUUCCCUUGGAACUUAAUAUGCUCUUUCAUAUUUCUACUUUUAUUAACAGAAAAAGGAGUAAAAGGAAGGGGUCCAAACUGUACAGAAUCUUAUUAAUUUUAGCCAACAAAAGUACCUAUCAUGGCUUUGCCUUCCCAAAUAUGUGUUUUACCAAAACCAUCAGCCCAUCCCCAUUCUUCAUCUACACUCAAAAUAUUUCUCUUCAGUUAGUUAAAAACAUUUUAUCUAAAAUCUAAGCUUUUGAUUUCGAAUCUUUAUAUCUAUUUGUCUCCACUCUUGUGUAAAUACAAGUUUAAAUUUUCUUAUCAUAAAUUUUGAAUUAAUUUAUAUUAUCGUUUGUAUCGACAACCAAUAAAUAAAGUUUCAAUCUUUAAUUAUUAGGAAAGUAUUCUAGGGCCUAGUCAUAUCCAAUAUCUUAGGAAAAGGAUCAUCUUUGUGGGAUCCGAGGGAUCAAGCAAUCACGGUCGUUGCAUCAUAUAUCAUGCUAUUAUAAAUCAGUUUAAAUUUAAAAUUGAAUAUAAAUAGUAUAUAAUGAAAAUUAAACGCAUGAUAUACGAUGAACAGUCGUGAUUGCUUGAUCCCCGAAUCUCCACAUGCUUUUCCAAUAUCUUUAUAUAAUCAUAUAAUUUGACUAAAAUAAAAAGGGUGGUCCGUGCCUUCUGGUAAUCUAGCAUCUUAAUCCAUCAAAUCUUUACCCUCCCUUUUUUCUCUCUAACAAAAUGUCUGAGGUCCCAACACCAAAAAUUACAGAAAAGGAGAAGCCUUCUUCUUCCUCAGCCACUUCAGCUCACCAACAACAACUCCUCUCUCUCCCCGCCAAUGGGUCUUCUCUCUCAUCCCCCGCCUCCGCUCCAAAGGCUUAUCCUUCACCCACAGCAACGUACGAGGAAGUCGUUCAAAGCUCCGACCUUUUCUGGGAAAAGCUCAAGGAGUUUCACGAUUCGUUCAGAACCAAAUUCAUGUACGUUUUGGGUUUUGUCCCUUUUGUGAAAGCUUUGAUUUUGUAUAUUUGGGUCGUUUGGUGAAUUGGGUUGUGUUUGUUUUGCUGUUUUGGGUCUUGAUAUGUUGGCAGAAUUGGAAAAUUAUAGUUUGUAUUGACAUUGAAUUUGCGUGUUGCUACUACAGUUGACUGGUUUGAUCAAUUCAUGUAAUUUGGCUCGGUUCGUUUUUCUUACAACUUAGAUUUCGUUUUGUUGGGCUAUUUGAUGAAUUGGGUGGGUUGUUUUUGUUUUGCUAUUUUGGGUCUUAAUAUGUUGGAAUAAUUGGAAAAUUAUAUAUUUGUGUCGUGUUUUUAUCUUUUCAUUGCCUCACUUGGACUAUUGGAUCUAACGGAAGACAUGACACAAAACUGAGCGUGGCAUUCUAGGAUUCAUAUAGCCGACUCUGCUUAGUGGGAUAAGAUUUUGUUGUUGUUGUAUUGCCUCACUUGAUAUACUUCCAUUGUUUUUGCAUGUUGCAUGCUUCAAUUGACUGGUUUUAAUCAAAACUAUGUUGCCUAUUCCUCGGUUUGAAUUGAUUGAAUGGUGACUGACUGAAAAUUUUGGACUGCAUUGUACACAUUGUUUCGAGUAUUUUUAGCAAAGUCAGGAUAUUUUUUUUGGGAUUCUAGAAGUUCAGUUGAAUGCUGAUAUCAAAUUUAUAUCCCCUGUGGUGUCUCUCUCUAUUUGAGUUUGAGUUAGGGAUGGUGGACAAUGAGCAAUCCCGAGAUUUAUUGCAAUGCAAUUCAUCAUUUCCACAUACCACCUAUAAUAUUGGCUCACGUUAUCCUUCUUUUUUCUUUGCCAUUAGUAAGAUUAUUGUUUCUUACCAAGAUCUGAGUUUGUCAUUCAUGAGAGAUGCUUCAUUCAAGAAAAUUGGAAUUUCCCAAAUCUUCGUUAGUCAUUGUUUCCUUUGCAUAACUUUAAUAAAUGGGGAUUUGAUUUUCUUGAUGUCUACUUUUGAGCUGAAAUUUUCCAUGUAUGCAGCAUUACUAGACCAAAAACAGCACCAUGUCGUGGAGAAAUUACGACAGUUUCCUUUUUGAGGAUUUAAGAAUUGCUAAUUUAUUUUAGUAUGCUAUCUUUUGAUGUUGGUAUUUUUUAGCUGUUAUAACCUUAUAUUUCUUCAUUCUUAUUUUGUGGUCAUGGAAACCUACUUUCCAUGUUGAGAUAUUAAUGCGUCUUCAAUUGCUUAGUUUAUUGCUUAUCCUUGUGAAUUUGCAUUUGGUUUUGAUACCUUACAGAAGCAUAAAUAGGCUUUUUGGUAACUAGGAAAAGUUAUCAGUGAUGGUCAGUGAAAUCCUGAAACUGGGUCAUUUUAUGAGAUGUCUGAAAGUAUUUCUUCAUUAGUAUUGAAGUAGGUUAGUUUGAAGGAUACAGUCUAAGGGGUGCAGAAAUAAGCUGUUUAUGAAUGUGGACUUUGUCAUGCCACGAUUCUUUUUGUGCAUCAGAAACCGUUCCUAAACUGCUGUGCUGAUUGUAUAACUUAUUUCCUUUCAUAGUUUAUAGGCAUUGAUGAAAACUUAGUUAGGACGGCCUGGCUUGAACAGGAUCUGUCCUAUAGGAUCAUAUGUCUGAGUCCUUGAGUUCAUGAAAAUUUAGUGUAAAGUACAGAAAAAACGGAAAGUCCAUGAGGAUAAGAUUAGCCCUCUUUGUGCAGGAUUCCUACCGUAGGAGGAAAAACUCUGGAUCUACAUCUCCUUUUUGUAGAAGUCACAUCUCGUGAUGGGCUUGAAAAGGUUCGUUCAUUUUGCUUUUCUGUUUAAUGGUUGUUUAUAUGAGAUUCUUAAGCUGAGUUAAACUUAUUGCCUAUGUUAAUCUUCAUCCUUUUCUUUUCUCCCUUAUUUUGGAGCCAUUCUAAAGUUCCUUUUUUAUGUUUUGAAUUUUAUUUCACUUUAAAUUCUCUUAAACUGGUUACAGGUGAUUAGAGAUCGCAAAUGGAAGGAAGUGAUUACAGCCUUCAAUUUCCCAACAACAAUUACCAGUGCUUCGUUUGUCUUACGGAAGUACUACUUGUCUUUGCUGUAUCACUUUGAGCAGGCCUAUUAUUUCCACAAAGAAGUUUAUAGCAUACCAGUGCUUGGUAAUUGAAGACAGGGGUCCUUGUUGAUUUUGUGUCAUUUCAUGUAUUUUAUUGAUUGGAAAAUAUAUGGUUUUCUUGUUUCCUUUUUGCCAGAGCCUCUAAGGAAGAACCUUUUCAAUGGGUCAGCCACCGUGGAGGAAGGUGCAAGUAGAAACCAAUUUCCAGGUCAGGGUAGGCUUAACCUCCAUCUCGAUGUUAUGGUUCUAAUAGUGGUUGCGCCACACUAGUUGUAGAAGUAGAACCAUAUAACUAUGAGUAUGUUUUCUCUUUGGUGUCUACAUUAAACUGUAAGUUUCCAGAAAACCUUUUAUGUGCAAUUGUAGAGUAUACCUCCUGUUGACAAUUCUCAGAAGAAAUCGUAUGAAAUAAUUCUGUAACUUCUUAAAGUUAGAUAGUUGAAUAAAAAAAUUUCUUGCUAGUGGUCAAGCUUUUCUGAUGGCCCUUUUGAGAUAAUCUUCGGAAAGCUGCAAUGAAAUAGAUAAACAACAUAGGAACUUCUAUUAAGAAAUAUGGAUGAACCACAUUGUAAAUUUUAUAGGGAAUCUGUCUUAUAACUUUAUGACUUGCUAUGAUGCUUUUACUGUCGUCUUUCUAAUUCAGUAUCAUUAUUUCCUAGUUCCUUGACCUUAUUGAUAGCAUCUAGUUAUUUGAUCUGCAAGGCCGUGAAUUAAUUGCAAUAUGGAUCUGUUUUCUCUAUCUUAUGUACAGAAAGCACAGAAGUGCAGCUUGGUUGUUCAAUCAUGGGAACCAUUGAUGGGAAAUUUGACAGUGGAUAUCUGGCUACUGUCAACUUGGGUUCUGAUGAACUGAAAGGUGUCUUGUAUCAUGCUCCUACAUCUACAUAUGUUUCUCAGAGCUUUUCGGACAUGCCUACUCGACGGAACCGAAAGAGAUCCAGGUUGGCAUUACGUGAUCCCUUUCGGCCCAAGUCAAACAGGAGUGGUUACAAUUUCUUCUUCGCUGAGCAUUAUGCCAGAUUAAAACCUUUGUACUAUGGGCAAGAGAGAGCCAUCAGCAAGAAAAUUGGGUAUCUAUGGAACAAUCUCACAGAGGCUGAGAAACAGGUAUAGUGAGUUGGUGACAUUUUUUUUUUUUUUUUUUUUUUUUUUCAGUUAGUCCUUUUUCGCUCGUAACGUCCCAAGCUAAUUUCAUUAUCGUAUAUUUGUGUUCCGGUAUAGAUCUAAGGUUUGAGAAGAAGUUUCACAUGCUUGGAUAGAAUUACUAUUUUCAUCUCCUUUUGUGUUGAUUCUCAACACUUCUAACUUGCGGUAUAUUGGAAGUCUUCUUGAAGUGUUCAUCAUAACACUCCGUUGCUGCGUUGCAGGUUUAUCAGGAUAAAGCGAUGAAGGACAAGGAGAGAUACAGGACCGAACUGCUGGAAUAUAAAUCUUCCUACAAUCCUACGCAGCAAUAGCCUCCAUGUUCGUUAGAUAGGCAACUUGUUUCGUAGGCAUCAUUUUCCUCUCUUGUAUGCCUUUUUGUAGUAGUUGUCAUCGUUGCCGGUAUUUAACCUAGUUCGGUUUUCAUUUUUCUUUGGUAAGGUUACCCCUCAGUAUGCCCCAUCCGCGGAAAAGAAUUGCGGAAGGGGUGAAAGGGGGCAGCUCUUUGUAACAGCUGUUGAAUUUGCCUUCACUUUGGAUUAGUAGGAUUCCAUUGCAGUGACGAUCUUUGAUAUUUCUUGACAUUCCAAUGUAACAAUAGUAAUUCCUGGAACUGCAGUCUAAAAUUUAAGGGAGCUUAUUUUCACACACAAUCUUUAGCCUUCUACACAGCCCUCACACAUAUUCCUGACAUCGGAUUGAAUAAAUGAAAUAGAAAACACGAUUCGGAUUGAAUAAAUGAAAUAGAAAACACGAUUAGGAUUAAAUAAGCGUGUAGGAGGAGAAAAAUUAUUUGUAAUUUCCAAAAUUUAUAGGUGGAUUGAAAAGUUUUGAACAUUAUGCAAUGUUUACGAGCUCGUUUGAAAGUGCUUUUAAAAUGACUGAAUGCUCUUUUGGUGAAAUUGAUUUUGGGUUCCAAAAGUACUCAAGUGCCUUUUGGAAGAAAUACCAGAUAUGUACUUUUUCAAGAAAGCACUUAAAUGUUUUUUCAUGAUCUACUUGGAUUUUUACUAAAUAUUGGUUUUAAAAACAUUUUCAUCAAAAAGACUUACAGUCAUUUCAAAAAGACUUCCAAAUGAUACAACACCUAAUGUACGCAGAUCACUACAACUGACUUUUGAGCUAGUUAGAAUUAUUUUUUAUCUUGGGGUUUCUAUCUAUUUUUAAUCUCAUCAUCCAAGAAAAUGUUAAACACAAAAGCAUAAAAAAAAACAAAAUGAAUUACGCCACCAUCUCAAAUUUAUUGAGUGAUAUUUUAACGUAAUCUAAAUUGCAAGGAGAAGAUCAACUAAUACAAUAAUUUAGAAAUAUUUUUCUUUGUUUUUAAGUAACAUGUUUCAAAUUUGACUUACAUAGACAGCGAGGGAGUAUUGUAAUUAUGUCAAGUUUGAUACCUAAUUAAUGGCUGACUUAGCCUAGUCCCCCUCUCCUUAGAGUAAAAUAUAUUGUAACAAAAUUAUAGAGAGAGGUAACUAAGUGGGAUGAUAGAGAGAGGUAACUAAGUGGGAUGAGGCAGUGCAUUAUUAUCCUGGUCAACUUUGGCUAUGCCAAGUCCUACAUUUUUUACUUUCAAAUAUGAUUAUUACUUGCUUUCUUAAUCAACUAGAAGUAAAACUAUUGGCUUAGGAAAUACAUUUUAACGGAUACUUUUUACCUUUCAUAACGUGGUAAUACAUGUUUUACCUUAAUUAAUUAGUUCCCCUUCAAACAAACAAAAUGUAUACAUAAGUAAUGAUUUUCUUUUUGACACACAAUAUGAUAUUUUAAUACAAACAGACAAUACAAUAUGUGAAUUGGAACAUUAGAGCUCUUAAACUCGUACAUUGUACAACUAAGUGAAAAAAGCUAAACUAUAGUUAGAUGAAAGGUAGUCAUUUAGUACUACGAUAUAAUGAUAUUCUUCGAUCUAGUUGUUCAUUUUCACUUGUAAGUGAUCUUAUGUUUGAUUAUUGUCAAAAGCAAAUUUGAGCCAAAUUAUUGUCUAUUGUGAGGUUUAGCCUAACUCCUCUUUUUCGUACGAUAGAUAAAAUCGUUUGUUAAAAAAAGUUAAACAAAAAGCUUGCUGGUCAAAGACUCAAAUGCAACGACUUCCUUCACACAUUUUCUUUCGUCAAAGCAUUAAGUAGAAUUUAAAUUCCUUGCUCAUAAAAUUGGAAACAUGGAGGCCAUUCAAAGGUUUGAAACCGCGUGGAAACAAAAGGAUAGAAGAAAUAAAUUGGAAAAUUUGCUCCUCUAAUCACUUUCUUAUUUAGACUCUAGUCAUGUGUGUGGUGAGUGGUGAAUGGUGGGAACAUGAGGGCAGUGCAUCAUAUGCAAUUAUAUAAUUGGAGAAACGUUUGAAAAUAAAAACUUUUCACCACUUGUAUAUUAACAUUUGGCGUACCAUUACGUGUUUUGAGUGUACUGAAAAAUCUAGUGAAUGGUGGUAUGAGAUGUGAAAAUUCACAUAAAAGAGGAUCAAAAGGGAUAAUAAUGACAUGCAUUAACUUAAAGGAUGGCGAUAAGCACGGAUUUUGAAACUAACCCAAGAGAGUUCCCACUUUGCUAGGCUUCUUGCCCCCUUUUAAUUUCCUCUCCUUGAUAGAGUAGGAAAUCCUUUUGGGAUUUUAUUCUAAUUAGAAAAAUGAGAUUUUUUAAUAUAUGCUGCGAAUAUCUUAUGUAUUGAAAAUUUUAAUCAAUAUAUUAUUGGUUAAAGAUUCAACAAUUAAAGUUGCAAACGUUUAAAAAUUUAGUGUAUAAAGUACAUCAAAGUAUAGUAAAUUUUUUAUUAAAAAAUAGUGGAAUAAUUUAUCAUUGAUUAACACUUAUAAAGGGUAACACAAAUAAGAAGAGAAAAAAAAAAUCCUUAAAAAAAAGAAGACAAAAAGCUAAUUUUUGGGGUUGGAGGAAUAAUUACAAAGAAAAGAUUGUAUCCUAAAUUUUUGUGAAAACUGAGAGAAUUCCGGAUGAUUGGCCUUGGAGUAUCUUCCAAGGAAGAUUAAAAUUAAAUUAUAAUGUAAGAUAAAAAUUAGAAAAAAAAAAUUAAAGGAAGAAAUUCCAAAAACCCUUACUCUUUGGGGCAGGUAUGGUUUAGUGUUGUAAGUGGGGCUCCUAAAUACUCGUAGUGGGAUAGAAGAGAGUGGCACACUUCAUACUAAACAGUACUACCUAAACCUUUGUUUGGAUGGAGUUUAAUUUUUCAUUUUUCAUUGAACUCUUCUUAUUUUUUGAAGGAUCUCUCUCAAAAUUAGGAUUGUUAUGACCUCUUUGUCAACCCAUAGUUUAAAGUUAAUUUUGUGUUAACAUUAUAAAAUAUUAUACCAAAAGCAUAAGGUAACAAGGAUUUUAUAAAGAGUCUUAAGAGAGUUCGAUUAUCAGUUCACUAUCUUUUGUGUGGUGGUUUUAUGGUUUUCAAACUUUUCAAAAUUCUCAUACUAUUCUCAGUCAGUGACUCAAAAUUCCGUGAGAAUUUGGAGAUUCUGAAAGAACGGAUUAACAGGCUUUGACGGUCAAUUGCCCAUGAACCAAAACUCAUACAAACAGCAGUUAAACCCAAAAUAAUAUUAAUUAAAAAACCUAACAAUAUCUAUAAAAAUAUAACAAUUAUAAUUCUCUUUCUAUAACAAUUUGGUGACUUGAAAGACCGAAGGCCUGCCUAACUGCUGCAGAAUUUGUGAAGUCCUCUCUCUCUCUUAGCUCUUCUGGGUUUGUUUCUCUGCUCCUUUCCUUGGCUAUUUUUCAACUCUAAUCUUUUUUUUUGAGCUGUAAUCUGAUGACAUCAUUAGCUGGCUGGAAGCCACUGAAUUUCCUUGUUUUCUUUCCCCUCUUAGAGUUCUUGAUUAUAUUGAGGUCAGGAUUUUCAGGACUUAUAAUUACCCAAAACAAGAUCAUGAUCAAAGUAGCCUAAUUUUGCUUCUCAGCUAAGCUAACCUUUUCACAUUUAUAUUUGCAUAUAUAUAUAUAUAUAAAAUCUCAAUCUCCUAGUAGGGUUCCGCAUACUCACAUCCUUAGCUUUAGCUCCUUUCUACCCAAAUCUUCUUUCUUUUCUUAUUCCCCAAGCACCAAAAAAAAAAAAAAAAAAAAAAAAAAAAA
rnacentral:lncRNA from 1 species